ACAGCUACAUUCAAGCUUUUUUAUGAACUUGUUCACGUUUAACUUCUUCGUCUCCUGUCACCCUGAACUAACCCUGUCUGUUUCCCCCACCAGGUCCACUCACAUCUGCCUCCCCGUUCGGCCAGCCGGACUCGCCUACCUGCCUUCCCCUCUCACAUCGCCUCCACGGCGCCCCUCGGUUCCCCCCUUGCUCCUCGCCGGACCGCCAGCCACCACAUCCUUCCCAGAUAGCAGCUGACUCUGGGCCGGAUCCGCCUCCAAACCGGCAGAUCCGUGUAACAGUCACGCCCGUUUUACUGCCGCAUGUAGUCUGUGUGCACUCAGGAGUGGGCGUGAGCAUCCAUCAGUCGGCGGAAUCAUAAUAGUUCUGGCCCGGACUGUUUCUUUGGAUCAGUUCGGAAUGAGUUUAUAACGGUUCAAUCUCUUCUCCACCCCUGACUGAGAGCCCGGGAUUAUAGGAGGCUGUACGGAAGAACCAAGCUGCUAGCAGCACAUCGGACAACGAAACUAACCAGCACGCCAUCCGCUGGUUCAACCUGGCCUCUGACCGUGGAGGUGGCUGCAAAGAACGUGCCAUGGCCAGAGAGGCAUUAACCAUGAAAUGAACACAUCAGCCAUCCCCCACUCUUCCACUACUGAUUUGUUGGGUGUCAUGUGAGGGUUAUGGCAUUCCCACUUGCCUCAUCAAUGUUUCCCGUAAAGCCACCAAACAAUGUGUAUGAACAUUUUACCUUUUUUCAGGGUUUCACAUGACUAGUUGGAGUUGGAUAUUGUAUUUUGGCUAUAAAAUCUUUGUUAUUUAUACCAGGGUCAUGGAAAAUGGUUAAAAUCUAAAUGGCUAGCAGUAAUCAAGACAAACUUAUUGCUUGUCGCUAAUUAAAACAUUUUUGUGUGUUUAGGCCAUAGAAUCUCGUGUAUCUCCUGGCUUUAGCUUUGUUUCUCAGGGAGAAAAAUCUUACUUUCUUACCAUCAUUAAUGGUACACUAUGCAAGACUGAUGUCAAUGUAUUGAGCUUUUUAAUAAUAGCAACAGUGUGGCUUAGUGAGUUUAAUACUUCUGCAUUCAUUUAAAAAUAACACCUGUGUCAUAGGGGUGUGGUUACUGUACAGUUACUAGAAACUAAUUGUCACCUGCAAGUCAACUGGAGUAAAGUUUCUUGUUCCUACAGUUGUUAAAGACAUGAGCUGUAAAAUGUGUGUUUAGCAAUUAUCUACUUUGUUUUAAGUUUCUGUCCUCUUUAUCUCAAACAUUUCAAAUAAAUGUAAGUGUCACUCAUCCAUUCUA